CGGGGCGCUGCACCAGUGAGGAAUAUUGCACAAUGGGGGGAACCCUGAUGCAGCAACGCCGCGUGGAGGAUGACGCAUUUCGGUGUGUAAACUCCUUUUAUAUGUCAAGAAAAUGACGGUAGCAUAUGAAUAAGCACCGGCUAACUCCGUGCCAGCAGCCGCGGUAAUACGGAGGGUGCAAGCGUUUCUCGGAAUCACUGGGCGUAAAGGACGCGUAGGCGGGUCGGAAAGUCAGGUGUGAAAUCCUACAGCUUAACUGUAGAACUGCACUUGAAACUUCUAAUCUAGAGUAUGGGAGGGGGAGAUGGAAUUAGUGGUGUAGGGGUAAAAUCCGUAGAUAUCACUAGGAAUACCUAAAGCGAAGGCGAUCUCCUGGAACAUUACUGACGCUAAGGCGUGAAAGCGUGGGGAGCAAACAGGAUUAGAUACCCGAGUAGUC
rnacentral:rRNA from 1 species